AAAACCCCAAAAUCCCAAACCGGCCCCCUCAGCAGCCCACGAACACCUCGCCGGGUCCCCACCCCGCCCCUCCCGGCAGGCAGGGCGGCCUCCCCCGGCGGCGGGGCCCGCUCCUCCCCGGGGCCGGCGAGUCAGCUGACGGUAGCGGCGGUUUCCAUCAUGGCCGCCCGGCCGGGGCGGCUGUCGGCGGGGCAGGGGAGGCGGAGAGGCGCGGCGGAGGCCCGGAUCCUGCUUCUCCUCUGGUUCGCGGGUGCAGCCGUGGAGGGAGCGGAGGGCACGGAGCCGCCGCUCAAGUGCGACGAGCUGAGGCUGGGGCAAUAUAUGUGUGAUGAGCCUAAAAUAGACAACAGUACACAAGAACCUAUGAAUUGUACAAAUCACACAGCAUAUGUUCAAUGUCUGCCAGCACCAAAUAUAACUUGCAAAGAUCACCUUGGCAUAGAAAAAGUCUUUACAGGACAUGAAGUUGGAUUUUACAAGCCUAUUCCAUGUCGCAAUGUAAAUGGAUACUCCUACAAAGUGGCAGUGGCUCUGUCCUUAUUUCUUGGAUGGUUGGGAGCAGAUAGAUUUUAUCUAGGCUAUCCUGCAUUAGGUUUGUUAAAGUUCUGCACUGUAGGAUUUUGUGGAAUUGGUAGUCUAAUUGAUUUCAUACUUAUUUCAAUGCAGAUCGUUGGACCUUCCGAUGGCUCUAGUUACAUUAUAGAUUACUAUGGAGCAAGGCUUACACGGCUCACUAUUACCAAUGCAACAUUCAGGAAAAUGCAGACCUAUCCUUAACCCUGGCAAGCUGCUUUUCGUUGACUCUUGUUCAUGUAUCAGCUACCUUUGGACAUCCUGCCACAAGUUCUCAAAGUACCUCUAGGAGGAAUUGGACUCUUCAGAGUUGAAUCAAGUAUGUAGAAAUGUCACGGCAUCGCAUCAGGGUAUCUUUUAUAUAUAUGAAGCAAAGACACGUUGGGGAGCAGUAGAUGUUAAUAAGAGGGGAUUGUGGGCUUCAGUUUCUGCAAAAGUAUGCCUGAAACCUAAAACCGUGUUGUCUCUUUGCCUUCUGCUUCCUGAAGGUGGAGCCAAACCCCCUAUCAGAUCUCCAAAUCUUCUGAAGUUGUUCUUUAUCAUACAGCAAGGACUUAGCACUCCGGUAUUUUUCCUUGCACAACAGAGAAAACUGGAAAGUGGAUGUGAGGAUUCUGUCUGGCCAAGAUGCAUUUUGCACUAUGCUUACUCUCUAGACCUAAGACUGUGGCAAAGGAAAAGAAAGGAAAUAUAAGAAUAAAAAGGGCAGUCUCAAUGCUGUUUGCACUGUGUGUGAUGAAGAUCUAGUUCCAUAAACUCCCAACAAAAUAGUGUUUAAAAAAUACUGCUUGUCUCAAAUACAAACUCCUUGCUUUUCCCAGGAUUUCUGAUUCUUACUCUUUGUGCUUCAUUAUAAUCUCAAACAUACUCAUGCUCCGAUAAUUCUCCAUUAUACAUUUGAAUGGCUGCUUUCAAGACUGCAGUGCUUUCUCCGAGAAGCACAGUUCUCAGGCUCUGCAGAUGCGUAUGACACAGCAGAAUUUUAGGCAGUAUAAAAAUUAUAAAGAUCAGUUUCCAUUACUGUAAUUACUAUAUAAAUCCUAUCUUUAAGAGGCUUAGAACAGGCCUAUUUAACCUUGGUUUGAGCUGAGGCUUGGUCCAAGUCUGAUAGGUUGAACACCAAAUUCUUUUUCUUUUUUUUUUUUCCCUUUUCUCUGCAGCAUCGUAACUUAGCAGGGAGUGGGGCGGGGAGGGAGAUGGAUCCAGUGCAUCCUCUCUGCUCUGACAGGGUAGUGGCUGUAAUCGGGCAAUAUACCUGUCCCCAACCAACAGCAAGACUAAACGAGAUGUGCAUUUUGUUACAUCUGAAAAGCACCGUUUCUCCCCUUGGAACCUGUGGCUGCUUCUCUUACACAGCUGUACUCCAGAACAGGUUCUUCUUCAAAGUUCUUUGGAUUUACCGUGGAGAAAACAUGGCAAGAACAUGUAAGAGGAGAUCACUGCCUGCGAAGAACUGACUGAGUGUUCACCUUGAGCCUGACAAGACUGCCCACCAUAUGGAUUGUGUUGGCAGAGGCAGAAGCCUGGGGAAUGCAGAGGUGGGGGGUAAUUUUUAGGGCUUGCAUUCCAUGGUCCCAUUGAUUAUAACCCUAUUAAGAGGAUGAUGCAUGUGACUUUUAAGUUAUUUUGUUAACUAAGUGUAAGCAAUGGAUGUGUCAUGCUAACAAACAUAAUUGCUGGUGUGUCUAAUACAGUAUGUAAGUACAGUAUAGUGAAUUUAAAAGGUUGUGGUAAUCUAAGAAUGUUAAAAGGGAAACGUGUGCCUGGGGGGUGUGGGGGUUGGGGAGAAAAACGACUUACUUGACAUUCACUGUCUUCCUCCCAGCUCCUUUGCUAAAGUAGGAACAGAAUCGGAACAAAAAAAUGUUUGUUUUACAGCUGUACCAAGUUACGGCGUGGACUCGUGCUCCCCCCCUCCUCUCCCACUUGCAUCAAGUACAUCCUGUACUUUUGGCAACAUGUUGACUGGAUAUUUAAAAGCUGUGAACUGUUCUGAAAGUUUCACAUACUGGGUUAUGGGCCAUGUGUGUUUGAUCAAAAUUCAAUUACUGCACUGUACCAUGCUUGGAAACCUAUCAUCCCAAGUUAUGAAGUAUGACGAAAUAGGCUAAUCUAAUUGGUUCAGUAUGGGAGCAGUAUCAACCAAGCUUGUUAUGAUAAAUAGCUUCCUGUGUUAAAGGUUCUCUAGAGCUUAAGUAUCUUGGCUCACCUCCCUCUACAAAAUAAGAAUAGUGUUCCCUGGGAACAGUUACAUCACUGUCCCUCUCCUACAUUCACAAUUAAAGGUUUGUGGAUUUUUUUCAUCUUGCUAUUACUUGAAUAGAUAAACUGUGGCCAUCUACCCCACUUCCAUCUCCUUCCCCUUUCCUCAGGUUAGGUCAUGUUGUGCUUCCUGUGAGUCUGCCUGAUCUGUUUCAGGGCUAGGUAAGGCAAGCUUGACCAGGAUGCCAAAACCCAUCCUGGGCCGGAGGCUGGGAUUUGUGUGCUGGUGUCAGUGCAUACGACAUGUCUGUUUGUAUAAAGAGUUGGAAUUUUUGAUGUUAAGUUAAACGUGGAAGCACUUUAAUCUUUCUAAGCAUCUAAUAAAAGAACUUUUGUAUAGCAAAUGUCA